UCAGAGAAUCGCCUGUCUCUGCCUCGCGCGGGCUGAUUAAAUGUGUGCACCACCACUGUACCCAGUGUCCUGUUUUAAAUACAACCUAAAGUUUAGUUUUCUGAACAAAAUGGUGCUUUUCUACAGUCACUACUUAAAACUGUAAUGCAAAGCACAGGCGAGCAGAGGCUCAGCCUUAGAUCCUACAAGAUCACUUACUGUGCCUUAGGGCUCUCAGGUGUUCGCACGGUGGCUUUUAGAGCUACUUAACCGUGCCGUUUGUUUGUCCGUGCAUGCAGAUGUCACCAGCAUAGAUGUGAAUGAAGGUCAGAAUACACGUUUGUGGAGUCAGCUUUCUCAUUUUUCUCUAAUAGAUUUUGGGGAUUGAACUCAAGUUGUCAGGCAUGUGUAACAAUGCCUUAGCUGCUGCUCUCCUGCUGGUGAGGGUGAGGGUGAGGGUGAAGAUUCACCCGCCAUGUCUAGAUUGUGUAGGUGUGGUAUGCCUACAGGAAUCUAGAAGGCCGUGAUAAUUGUCUUGUAACUCAGACUUGUAACAAGAAAUGGUUUCUACUAGUUCUGAUUAGGCUUGUUUCUUACUUAAUUCCCAUCU